UGACUGAGCUUCGUUCGGUAU
rnacentral:miRNA from 1 species